UUGGAGGACUCUCGACCUGUCUAUCAGGACCCGCGGACAUGAAAAGCAGCGUCCCCAAGUAAAAGGGACGUCAGUACAAAUAAUGUACUGAGUAUGUAAAGCACAUAAAUAAGUACAUAACAGACAUGGAAGAAAUAUAGAGUAAAUGACUCCACCUGUAAGUCUGGAUAACUCUGUAAAUUAUGAAAUAAUUAUAGUGUCAUGCAUAAACGUAUGGAUGUCAUGUUAUGCAUAGGUACAUGUUUCAUAACAUCAUCAGGCCUCUGAGGGCAUCCAAUCAUAUCAUCUCGGCCAUUGUGGGCAAAAUCAUCAACGUAUACCAGCUGAUCAGGUGGUGGUGUGUAUAUAACGCCGUAAUCCUUUCCCAUAUCCCAUAUACAUACAUACAUACAUAUAUAUAUAUAUAUACACACACACGUAUAUAACGCCAUAUAGUCAUGGGUCAAUGUAAAUGAAUGCAAUGCAUGAGACGUACGUCAAUAAAAUCUUCCGGAGUGUCAUAAGACCAUUAUGCCUUUGAUUAAUUUCACGAAAUAAACUUUAUCAACUUACGUAUUUUUUGAAACCCAUGAACUGAUGAUAAAAUAAUGGGACACAUGAAGAAUCAAGAACAUAGGCAUUUCUACGAAUAGAGUCAUUUAUGGAAGUUGUACAUUUUUUCAUUUCGUUUGUAUCGUAUAGAUCAUACCAAAAGAAAUAAGGGAUAGCCUUAACAUACCUUUAACGCCAACUUUCUACUUGUAUCCAUGAACAAUCCCCUCCAUCUUGUAUGCCAAAAGUAGUCUUCUUCCACCUUACUUUAUUACGAUGAAAUCUCCAAAUUUCUAUCAUCCGGAGGAAACCGUUGUGGGUAUAACAUCUAUGGUCAUUUGCGUGGUCUAACUACAUGGCGGCUUUAACAUAAUAACAUCCCAUCAUCUCUAGAAGUUGAUAAUCAUUACAGGCAUAACAAAUAUU
rnacentral:lncRNA from 1 species